AGACGCUGGGCAGCUGCUGGAGGACGAGGAUCGGGGGAGCCAGAGAUGUCCACCCUCGGCUGGUGGCGCCGCCGGGCGCCAGGUGCUGUGUGGACGCGCUAGACGGACUGAGCCGGGUGCCGUGCUUCGCUGCGCGGUGGGCAGGUGAGUCGCUGCCCGCCGGCAGGAGCGCGCCCUCCCGGACUUUGACCGCGGAGGAAGGACGGUGUCCAGGUCGCGCCCUGCGGGCUCGUGGCAGCUGUCCUGUGGACCCUCAGGAGGGGCGGGCAGAAAGGUGCUGGCGCGAUCAUGCUGCGGGCUGCACAGGGCUUGCAGCAAGACUGUGCUCCGCACCUGUGGGAGUCGCGGGAGGGGGUGGCCAGAUUGCCGCGGGGCUGCCGUCCCGCUUGGCUGGGGUCUCGGGGCUCCGGGGGUCUCCGGGCUCUGCCACGCAAAGCGUAGUUGCCACAUCGGCCAGUCGAGCUGCAUGUGGGAAGGUGCCGGAGAGCCUAACGCCCUGAGGAGCAGAAUCCAGACAGGGGGACGCCAGGGUCCAUCCUGAGGCGCCCAAGCCCUGGGGACAGACGCCGCGGGACCACCCCAUCGCGGCAGUGACGGGUCUGCAGCCCGCGCUCAGUACUGGGCUGCCUGCUGGGGGAGGAGCUUAUUUUGCCGCAGUGGCCAUGGGAGGGGCCACAAGCCACUGGGGGUGGGGCCAGUCUUAUGUGGGAGGUAUUUUGGGCUCUGCUCGCUCUCCGGGCGCCCUCUGGUGGCGGCGGGUUCUCUUAGACGGGAUCUACGUGCUUGCCGCGCAAGCGUCAUUCUGAUUGGUUGUCUGAGAUUGGGGCGGGGCCAGGGCUUACGCCGCUGCUGCCUCUUGGGGUUGUGGCAGUCUUGUCUGGCCCCGCCUGUCCGGCGCCAUCUUUAAGGGGCAGGGAUUUGCUGCGCAGGUGCAGUCUUGGCUGAUUGCUGUGUCGGGCUGGGAGUGCGGGUCGUGUCCUCGGCAGUGGCUGGAGGCUGUGGGGUGCUGGCAGUGGAGGUGCCACCCUGACUGCUGUCUUUUCUGGUUGGUUCUUUGGCCCAACCUGCGACUUCAGGUGGAGCCAGAUGCUGUGCGCCUAAUUUGCCGUAGCUGCCGCGGUACUUCUGGUCUAAGGGGCAGAGCGGCAAGAUGCAGUAUUCCCGCGGCUUCUCCUUGGGUGGUGCGCACUAGAGUUUCAUUCUGUUAUUGUCUGGGAACUUUUUUUUUUUUUUUUACCCGGGAAUGUCUCAGGCUCCAACUCUGGAAGGUGUUGAAAGCGGGAAGCAGCAAAAAAUGUGUUGUACGUUGGUGCCUUGUGGACGGGCUGGAGGGGUGCCUUGUCCUGAGUGACUCUCCCACCCAUGGUGUAGACUUUGUUGGCCACAGAAGGGCGCUCGACGCUUGCUGCGGCAGGCGCCAUCCUGAGUGACAGCUGGGCUGGCUGCCGAGUGUAAUCGGAGGGAGGGGCUGUCUCCUGAGUGACUGACAAUGCUCAGAUCCCGCCCACUCAGGCACCAUCUUUUCUGGCCACCUGGGGGCGUGUGACAUUUGCUAUGCGGGUACCAUCUUCAUUGACAGCUGAGUUGGCUACAGGGGAUGGGCACAAGAGGGGGACCGUCUUCUGGGUUACUGAGAGGGGCAGCAAGGCCCCGCCCACCCUGGCGAAGUCUUCGCUGGCCACAGGGGAGCGCCCGAUGUUUCCUGUUCGGGCUCCAUCGUCACCGACUGUAGACUGGCUGCAGAGGGUGGGCCCAAGGGAGGGGCUGUCUUCUGAGUGACUCAGAGGGCAUCAGUCCACCCUGGCGCCAUCUUUGCUGGUCAUUGGGGGCGGCCUUUUGUUUUGUACAUGGAUGCCGAUUUGAUAGCAGUGCUGGCUACAGGGGGUAUGCCUGAGGGAGGAUCUGUUUUCUGAGUUACUAAUGAGCCCGAAGAGCCCACCCACCCUGGCGCCAUCUUUGCUAGCCACAGGGGGGGAUGCCUGACUUUUGUAUGACGGCGCCAUUUUCAUGGACAGCGGCUGGCUGCAGGAGGCGGGUCCAAGGGAGGGGCUGUUUUCUGAGUGACAGGGACAGCCGAGCCCCGCCGGUCCUGAAGGCAUCUUUGCUAGCCACAAGAGGGCGGUUGACGCUUACUGCGCAGGUGCCAGCUUCAUUGGCGGGGCUGGCUGCAGGAGGGCGGGCCCAAGGGAGGGGCUGUUUUCUGAUAGGGACAGAAGAGCCCCGCCUACCUUGGAGCCAUCUUUGCUACCACUGGGGGGCGCCUGAUGCUUUCUGCGCAGGCGCCAUCUUCUUGGGCGGACUGACUGCAGGGGAAAGUUCUAAGGGAGGAGCCAUCUUUCAAGUGACAAGGACGGUAGAGCCACGCCUACCCUGGAGCCAUCUUUGCUAGCCACUGGGGGGCACCUGAUGAUUUCUGCGCAGGUGCCAUCUUCAUUGGUAGGGGCUGGCUGCAGAGGGCAGGCCCAAGGGAGGGGCUGUCUUCUGAGUGACAGGGACGGCAGAGCCCACCCACCCUGGAGCCAUCUUUGCUAGCCAUAGGGGGGCGUCUCAAAUUUACUGCGCAAGCUCCAUCCUCAUUGGCAAGGAUUUGCUGCAGGGGCGGGCCCAAGGGAGGGGCUGUCUUCUGAGUGGUGGGCCCGCGGAUCCCCACUGGCCUUGGUACUUUGCGAGUUGGCCGAAAGGUGGCAGCCCAGGACUUCUGUGCAGGUGUCCUGUAGAAUGACAGCAGGACUGUGGGCGGGCCACAGUCAUGUUCUUUCAGUCUGUGCCAUCUGUGCAGGUGUCGUCAGGUGACAAUGGCCCAACGAGCCCCGGCCGCCAAAUUGGCUGGGUGCCACACAUGCUGCCGUGUUGCCACAGGGUGGGGCUCAACACUUAGCCUCGCUCUCUGCAGACAUGGGUCCAGAAUUCAGGGGGUUGAUAUACUGGGGGGAGGGGGGGAUGGAGGGGGUGGGCUGAUCAUAUGAUUUGGGGGUCUGGGUAAUUUGGAGGCUGUGGGAGCAGAAGGGAUUUUACUCAAAUUCCACAGUGGAACAGCUGUAGGUGGUCCUGAGAGGCAAGGCAAGGGGGGGUGGGGGUGGGGGUGGUGAUCUGGGCAAGGGCCUGGCAAGAGAGGCUGGCCACGCCCAUGGCUAGGAGAGUGUGGAGCUUGCUCAGAGCUUCUGGCAGUCUGCAGUAGGUGAGCAUGUCUGAGGCUCCAGGCUUGUCUCCACUCUAGCUUUUAAGUCCCUGUCUCCUUUCCCCUUCUGCCCUCCAGGAAGUAGGAAAAGUGACACACAGGAUUCUUCCUUUCCAGUUGUGGUUAAUGUAUCCAUUUAUUAAUGGCUAAUAUUAAUAAUGGCUGACACUUAUGGAGCACCAGUAAAUGGCAAGUAGUUUCUAAUAAGUAAACUAUUUGAUCUUACCAAAAUGUACUCGCCUGACCCUGGAACAGAAACCAGAAAUGUGAUGUGAAGCUCCCUCCCCCAGGGCCUCCAGUUGGUUGAAUAGAUGCUCUUAAGUGCCCUGGGGUUUUAACUAUGUAUUAUGAGUCCACUGGGAGCGUGUUGAUGAGCCCUAAAGCAUUACACAUAAUUAAGUAGUGAUACAAGUGUCUAAUCGUAUUGGUGAUGAUAGCAUUAAAGUUCUAAAAUAGGUAGUUCCUUCAUACUUAAAUUUACAGCAAAAUUAAAAUUCUGGUCCUACUCCACUGACUAUUAAGUGACAGAACUGGAGUUUGAAUUCAUGUUUCUAAUGGGUACCUAUAUUGGUAUACCAUGUGAUUUCUGUAAAACACAAGCCAAUUUUCUAUUUGUAAAUGGCAUUAAGUUAGUUUCUAAUAGUUUGCCUAGAAAAUUAAUAGAAUUGUGAAAACUAGUGUAAAUGUGAGAGCUAAACACUAUACCUGGUAUUGUAUAAGAGUUCUUUCUCAGCCGGUUUUCUCCAGUUUUUAUGUGCAGCGUGUAUCUUUGCCUUUAGAGGAAUGCUUAGGGCCAUGUGUAUAAGUGGUUAUAUGGAUGACUGAAUUGCUCUCUUAAUCCAGAACCCAGAGGUUUGGAGACAUCCCAGAGCGGACUUCAAGGCCCUUGACAUAACCUGGUCAGGAGGCCCUGAGCAUAGCAAGGAUACAGCAUGGACCUCAGGAGUAAUGCCCAUGACCGUCAUCCUGGGCAGUGAGGCUGCCCUCCUGGUCUCACUGGACCUGUGCCGUUGUGGGAGAUACAGGUGGACCUGUGUCUUGUUUACCACUGAGGAGCCUGUAACUGCAAAGUAAAUUGGGUGCUUCAUGUUUUGUUUUUCCUCCCACAGCUCUGCCUUCUUGAUCUUUCACCUUCUUGGAGACAGCUGGCAAGAAAGAGGGACUAGGUCCAAGUGCUAGGUGGCUGAGUCCAGGUGAGUCGUCCUUACUGCUCACACUGCCACACUUGCCUCUGGAGGGAGCCCUGUGCUCCCACACCUUGACAUUUCCCUGCUGUGCAUGUUCACACAGCCUCAAGAGCACCUUCAGACCCUCUGAGAACACGUGCACUCUUCUAGCUGUGUAUGCACUGGCCAGAAGUUCUCCUCCGUGACCUCAUGCCGUCCCUCUUGGUGUCCUACCUCUUUUCCUAGCAUUCAGCCACUCCUUUAGGCCUCCUCUUUCUCUCGUGGGGUGAUGUAAGAAGUGUGAGAGCUUUGAUUUAUCUGCCGGUAUUGAUCAAGUACACUUUGUGCCGGGCACUGGGAACAUGGCUUUAAGUGUGAAGGGAGGUGUCUUCAUAGAGCUUGUAGUCUCAUGGAAAAUAUGACUGUGUGAUUCAAGUCUUUUGGGGCACAUUUGUCAGGGGGAGCUAGUUUAAUCUGGGAAAGACCUUGUAAGUCCUCCCUGAGGUGGUUGGGCACUUUAAAAACUGCCUACUAAAGGACCAUGAGUUGUGUGUGUCAUGGGGAGAGUAGUCUAAGCAGAGGGUGAGAUGUUCCUGAGGGAUGCAGAGACAGGAGCCAAACUCCAGGACACCUAGAGCAAGAGAAGAGCCCAGUGGCGCCCGGCUGAGGUGAGGCAAGGUAAGUUGGGCUACUUUGUUAAAGGCCUUGAAGCCAGCGGCAGUCAUUCAGGCAUGACCUGGUGUGCAGGGGAGCCAAGAGGUUUUCCAGCUGUGGGAUAACGGGACACAACAGCACAUGUGCA
rnacentral:lncRNA from 1 species